ACACCGUGAUACAAUACGACACACAGGUAGCAGUGAAAUACCCGGACAGAUAUGAAUACAUCUGUAUUUUUGUUACUAUUUGUUACGGUUCCAGUCGUGGGGAGUUCCGAUUUAGAUCCGAACGAAAUGCAACUAAUAGGAUUGAAAUGUGAAACCAAGUAUAUGUAUCCUGACAGUGGAGAAGGAACACAAGAAGUAUUAAUGACAUGUAAACCCAACGACGUGUCCAUGGACAUGUCUGGUAACGGUUAGUAAAACUAAAAAGCAUAUUUAAUUAUGGACA